CCCUACGGGGGGCAGCAGUGAGGAAUAUUGGUCAAUGGUCGGGAGACUGAACCAGCCAAGCCGCGUGAGGGAGGAAGGUACAGAGUAUCGUAAACCUCUUUUGUCAGGGAACAAAGGCGGGGACGUGUCCCCGGAUGAGUGUACCUGAAGAAAAAGCAUCGGCUAACUCCGUGCCAGCAGCCGCGGUAAUACGGAGGAUGCGAGCGUUAUCCGGAUUUAUUGGGUUUAAAGGGUGCGUAGGCGGAAGGUUAAGUCAGCGGUCAAAUGUCGGUGCUCAACACCGGCCUGCCGUUGAAACUGGUCUU
rnacentral:rRNA from 1 species